UACGGAGGGGGCAAGCGUUGUUCGGAAUUACUGGGCGUAAAGGACUCGUAGGCGGCCAACUAAGUCAGACGUGAAAUCCCUCGGCUUAACCGGGGAACUGCGUCUGAUACUGGAUGGCUUGAGAUUGGGAGAGGGAUGCGGAAUUCCAGGUGUAGCGGUGAAAUGCGUAGAUAUCUGGAGGAGCACCGGUGGCGAAGGCGGCAGCCUGGACCACCACUGACGCUGAGGAGCGAAAGCCAGGGGAGCAAACGGG
rnacentral:rRNA from 1 species